UGGGAGCUUGCUCCCUGAUAGUCAGCGGCGGACGGGUGAGUAACACGUGGGCAACCUACCUUUUAAGACUGGGAUAACUUCGGGAAACCGGAGCUAAUACCGGAUAACAUGUAAGGUCACAUGGACUUACAUUAAAAGAUGGCUUUCGGCUAUCACUUAUAGAUGGGCCCGCGGCGCAUUAGCUAGUUGGUGAGGUAAUGGCUCACCAAGGCGACGAUGCGUAGCCGACCUGAGAGGGUGAUCGGCCACACUGGGACUGAGACACGGCCCAGACUCCUACGGGAGGCAGCAGUAGGGAAUCUUCCGCAAUGGACGAAAGUCUGACGGAGCAACGCCGCGUGAACGAUGAAGGCUUUCGGGUCGUAAAGUUCUGUUGUUAGGGAAGAACAAGUACCAGAGUAACUGCUGGUACCUUGACGGUACCUAACCAGAAAGCCACGGCUAACUACGUG
rnacentral:rRNA from 1 species